rnacentral:lncRNA from 1 species
GGCAAGGACAGUUUGCAGUAGCUCUAGCCCUAAGACAGACACAUGUGCAGGACACAGCCACGGUAAAGGCUGCAGAUAAAUUCAACUGUGUAAGGAAGAUCCAGUUACAUGUGGGCAACGGCAGCCAAUGGGCUGGGGCCUGAGAAUCAGCAUUCAUCCGUUUCUUGACUGUGUGACAGCCUGAAUCCAACCUCAGUGUGCCUCUGUCAGGUAUUUUUCUCAGUGUGAAUCUGCACUAGUGCCUGACUCUCACCCAUCUCUUCCUGCUCACAGCCUGCCCCCCUUCAGUACUGCAUGGGCUUUGGGGGUCCAUCUCCCCACUGUCGCUCCAGUCCACCCACCCAGUAUCACUGCCUCUCCCAGGUGACUCUAAGCUGCUCCAAACACCUCAGGUCUGUUCUUGUCUGCGUCACCCCCCAACCCCCAGUGUGUCCAGCAGAGUUCCCCUCCGCUUGGCCAGC